rnacentral:rRNA from 1 species
ACAGGGAUUGCCCUAGUAACGGCGAGUGAAGCGGCAACAGCUCAAAUUUGAAAUCUGGCUCUUUCAGGGUCCGAGUUGUAAUUUGCAGAGGGCGCUUUGGCGUUGGCAGCGGUCCAAGUUCUUUGGAACAGGACGUCACAGAGGGUGAGAAUCCCGUACGUGGUCGCUAUCCUUCGCCGUGUAAAGCCCCUUCGACGAGUCGAGUUGUUUGGGAAUGCAGCUCUAAAUGGGAGGUAAAUUUCUUCUAAAGCUAAAUACUGGCCAGAGACCGAUAGCGCACAAGUAGAGUGAUCGAAAGAUGAAAAGCACUUUGGAAAGAGAGUCAAAUAGCACGUGAAAUUGUUGAAAGGGAAGCGCUUGCAGCCAGACUUGCCUGUAGUUGCUUAUCCGGACUUUUGUCCGGUGCACUCUUCUGCGGGCAGGCCAGCAUCAGUUUGGGCGGUUGGAUAAAGGUCUCUGUCAUGUACCUCUCUUCGGGGAGGCCUUAUAGGGGAGACGACAUGCAACCAGCCUGGACUGAGGUCCGCGCAUCUGCUAGGAUGCUGGCGUAAUGGCUGUAAGCGGCCCGUCUUGAAACACGGACCAAGGAGUCUAACAUCUAUGCGAGUGUUUGGGUGUCAAGCCCAGACGCGUAAUGAAAGUGAACGGAGGUGGGAACCCUUUGGGUGCACCAUCGACCGAUCCUGAUGUCUUCGGAAGGAUUUGAGUAAGAGCAUGGCUGUUGGGACCCGAAAGAUGGUGAACUAUGCUUGAAUAGGGUGAAGCCAGAGGAAACUCUGGUGGAGGCUCGCAGCGGUUCUGACGUGCAAAUCGAUCGUCAAAUUUGGGCAUAGGGGCGAAAGACUAAUCGAACUAUCUAGUAGCUGGUUCCUGCCGAAGUUUCCCUCAGGAUAGCAGUAACGUACUCAGUUUUAUGAGGUAAAGCGAAUGAUUAGAGGCCUGGGGGUUGAAACAACCUUCACCUAUUCUCAAACUUUAAAUAUGUAAGAAGUCCUUGUUACUUGAUUGAACGUGGACAUUUGAAUGUACCGUUACUAGUGGGCCAUUUUUGGUAAGCAGAACUGGCGAUGCGGGAUGAACCGAACGCGGGGUUAAGGUGCCAGAAUAUACGCUCAUCAGACACCACAAAAGGUGUUAGUUCAUCUAGACAGCAGGACGGUGGCCAUGGAAGUCGGAAUCCGCUAAGGAGUGUGUAACAACUCACCUGCCGAAUGAACUAGCCCUGAAAAUGGAUGGCGCUCAAGCGUAUUACCCAUACCCCGCCGCCGGGGCAGAAUUUAUGCCCCGGCGAGUAGGCAGGCGUGGAGGCUCGUGACGAAGCCUUGG